GAUGAACGCUGGCGGCGUGCCUAAUACAUGCAAGUCGAGCGAACAGACGAGGAGCUUGCUCCUCUGACGUUAGCGGCUGACGGGUGAGUAACACGUGGAUAACCUACCUAUAAGACUGGGAUAACUUCGGGAAACCGGAGCUAAUACCGGAUAAUAUAUUGAACCGCAUGGUUCAAUAGUGAAAGACGGUUUUGCUGUCACUUAUAGAUGGAUCCGCGCCGCAUUAGCUAGUUGGUAAGGUAACGGCUUACCAAGGCAACGAUGCGUAGCCGACCUGAGAGGGUGAUCGGCCACACUGGAACUGAGACACGGUCCAGACUCCUACGGGAGGCAGCAGUAGGGAAUCUUCCGCAAUGGGCGAAAGCUUGACGGAGCAACGCCGCGUGAGUGAUGAAGGUCUUCGGAUCGUAAAACUCUGUUAUUAGGGAAGAACAAAUGUGUAAGUAACGAUGCACGUCUUGACGGUACCUAAUCAGAAAGCCACGGCUAACUACGU
rnacentral:rRNA from 1 species